rnacentral:rRNA from 1 species
UACAGAGGUGGCAAGCGUUGUUCGGAAUUACUGGGCGUAAAGGGCGCGUAGGCGGCCUUCUAAGUCGGACGUGAAAUCCCUCGGCUUAACCGAGGAACUGCGUCCGAUACUGAAAGGCUUGAAUCCGGGAGAGGGAUGUGGAAUUCCAGGUGUAGCGGUGAAAUGCGUAGAUAUCUGGAGGAACACCGGUGGCGAAGGCGGCAUCCUGGACCGGCAUUGACGCUGAGGCGCGAAAGCUAGGGGAGCAAACGGG